rnacentral:lncRNA from 10 species
AUCAGAGGAGCCUGAGCGUAAUGUUAAUGUUCUGAGUGCUUCUGAAGUGACAGGAAGUGGUGCAUAUGCCCAGGGACAAAGCCAAGUUGAGGAGCAGAACCACAGUAGCUUGAGGAAGGAAUAGGUGAGAGUAGUGAUCCACCUGCCUCGGCCUCCCAAAGUGCUGGGAUUACAGGCGUGAGCCACCGCGUCCAGCCAAUUGGUGGGUUCCUGGUCUCACUGACUUCAAGAAUGAAGCCACGGACCCUCGCAGUGAGUGUUACAGUUCUUAAAGAUGGUGUGUUCAGAAUUUGUUCCUUCUGAUGUUCGGACGUGUAUGGAGUUUCUUCAUUCUGGUGGGUUCGUGGUCUCUCUGGCUUCAGGAAUGAAGCUGUAGAACUCUGCGAUGCUGUUACGAACUUCCCUUAGAAUCAACCCAUUUGUGAAACACCACAUUAAUAAGAGCAGUAUCUUUGGAGAUUGGAGAGUCCACCAAGGAUGCCCACUGGCUCCCUACAAAGUUUUUUAUGUGAGGACUCGGUCUCAGAUAUGGCUACUGGGAUUCUGUUCAAACUGAGUGAAGACAUCAUCAUCUUUCUUUGAGAUCUUCCUUGCUUUCUGGCCAAAGAAGUUAUUCCCUGACCCGACUUUCCAAAGAGUACUAGUUCCUUUUAGCAGUGAUUAGAAACCUGAUCUGAGUACUACUGUGUGUGCUUGUGACUAGUGUGGUUUUAUUGUUUCUAUGUCCUUUCAGCGAGCAGAUCUACAAUGAGGGAUACAUCUAAACAAAACUCCAUAUUAAUAAGUCCAGUUGAAAUCUAACAACAUAGGGUUCUUUCGCAUUCUCUUGCAUUCCAUAUUUGUAUAUUCGUUCACCCAUGGUGGCAACCCUGGCUAUUAGAAAUAUAAUUGUAUUUAUUUUGCUGUAUCCUACAAUAAAACAAAAAAAUUAAGAAUUACUAUACCAACAUCAUGAUAAAAAUACACAUACUAAGUAAAUCUGUUAUGUAAACUACAAGUGUGUUUGUAGCAUUUUUGUUUUUACACUAUAGCCUACUAAGUGUGCAAUUAGACUUCUUGCUCACUGGUUUCUGUUUACUUUUAAUUUUAGUAUU